GGGCCAGCUUUAGCUCAGCAAUUCCUUCAACAGCAUAAUUUCUGCAAACCACCUUUCGAGGGUGGUUCAAGACCUGUGGGCACUUUCCAGUCCUUUA
rnacentral:vault_RNA from 1 species